rnacentral:sRNA from 1 species
CUUUAAAAAUCUGGAUCAAGCUGAAAAUUGAAACGACACACUGUUAAUGGUGUGUUCGAGUCUCUCAAAUUUUCGCAAUCAGAAGUGAAACAUCUUCGG